rnacentral:tRNA from 1 species
UAUUAAGAAAUCACUGAUGAUGAACUGUAAAUUCAUAUAAGUAUCAAUAUACACUUUUAACUU